CCUACGGGAGGCUGCAGUGGGGAAUAUUGGACAAUGGGGGCAACCCUGAUCCAGCCAUGCCGCGUGUGUGAAGAAGGCCCUCGGGUUGUAAAGCACUUUCAGUGAGGAAGAACGCCUGGUGGUUAAUACCCAUCAGGAAAGACAUCACGCACAGAAGAAGCACCGGCUAACUCCGUGCCAGCAGCCGCGGUAAUACGGAGGGUGCGAGCGUUAAUCGGAAUUACUGGGCGUAAAGCGCGCGUAGGUGGCUUGAUAAGCCGGUUGUGAAAGCCCCGGGCUCAACCUGGGAACGGCAUCCGGAACUGUCAAGCUAGAGUGCAGGAGAGGAAGGUAGAAUUCCCGGUGUAGCGGUGAAAUGCGUAGAGAUCGGGAGGAAUACCAGUGGCGAAGGCGGCCUUCUGGACUGACACUGACACUGAGGUGCGAAAGCGUGGGUAGCAAACAGGAUUAGAUACCCUUGUAGUC
rnacentral:rRNA from 1 species